GGUUAAGCGACUAAGCGUACACGGUGGAUGCCCUGGCAGUCAGAGGCGAUGAAGGACGUGCUAAUCUGCGAUAAGCGUCGGUAAGGUGAUAUGAACCGUUAUAACCGGCGAUUUCCGAAUGGGGAAACCCAGUGUGAUUCGUCACACUAUCAUUAACUGAAUCCAUAGGUUAAUGAGGCGAACCGGGGGAACUGAAACAUCUAAGUACCCCGAGGAAAAGAAAUCAACCGAGAUUCCCCCAGUAGCGGCGAGCGAACGGGGAGCAGCCCAGAGCCUGAAUCAGUGUGUGUGUUAGUGGAAGCGUCUGGAAAGGCGCGCGAUACAGGGUGACAGCCCCGUACACAAAAAUGCACAUACUGUGAGCUCGAUGAGUAGGGCGGGACACGUGGUAUCCUGUCUGAAUAUGGGGGGACCAUCCUCCAAGGCUAAAUACUCCUGACUGACCGAUAGUGAACCAGUACCGUGAGGGAAAGGCGAAAAGAACCCCGGCGAGGGGAGUGAAAAAGAACCUGAAACCGUGUACGUACAAGCAGUGGGAGCACGCUUAGGCGUGUGACUGCGUACCUUUUGUAUAAUGGGUCAGCGACUUAUAUUCUGUAGCAAGGUUAACCGAAUAGGGGAGCCGAAGGGAAACCGAGUCUUAACUGGGCGUUAAGUUGCAGGGUAUAGACCCGAAACCCGGUGAUCUAGCCAUGGGCAGGUUGAAGGUUGGGUAACACUAACUGGAGGACCGAACCGACUAAUGUUGAAAAAUUAGCGGAUGACUUGUGGCUGGGGGUGAAAGGCCAAUCAAACCGGGAGAUAGCUGGUUCUCCCCGAAAGCUAUUUAGGUAGCGCCUCGUGAAUUCAUCUCCGGGGGUAGAGCACUGUUUCGGCAAGGGGGUCAUCCCGACUUACCAACCCGAUGCAAACUGCGAAUACCGGAGAAUGUUAUCACGGGAGACACACGGCGGGUGCUAACGUCCGUCGUGAAGAGGGAAACAACCCAGACCGCCAGCUAAGGUCCCAAAGUCAUGGUUAAGUGGGAAACGAUGUGGGAAGGCCCAGACAGCCAGGAUGUUGGCUUAGAAGCAGCCAUCAUUUAAAGAAAGCGUAAUAGCUCACUGGUCGAGUCGGCCUGCGCGGAAGAUGUAACGGGGCUAAACCAUGCACCGAAGCUGCGGCAGCGACGCUUAUGCGUUGUUGGGUAGGGGAGCGUUCUGUAAGCCUGCGAAGGUGUGCUGUGAGGCAUGCUGGAGGUAUCAGAAGUGCGAAUGCUGACAUAAGUAACGAUAAAGCGGGUGAAAAGCCCGCUCGCCGGAAGACCAAGGGUUCCUGUCCAACGUUAAUCGGGGCAGGGUGAGUCGACCCCUAAGGCGAGGCCGAAAGGCGUAGUCGAUGGGAAACAGGUUAAUAUUCCUGUACUUGGUGUUACUGCGAAGGGGGGACGGAGAAGGCUAUGUUGGCCGGGCGACGGUUGUCCCGGUUUAAGCGUGUAGGCUGGUUUUCCAGGCAAAUCCGGAAAAUCAAGGCUGAGGCGUGAUGACGAGGCACUACGGUGCUGAAGCAACAAAUGCCCUGCUUCCAGGAAAAGCCUCUAAGCAUCAGGUAACAUCAAAUCGUACCCCAAACCGACACAGGUGGUCAGGUAGAGAAUACCAAGGCGCUUGAGAGAACUCGGGUGAAGGAACUAGGCAAAAUGGUGCCGUAACUUCGGGAGAAGGCACGCUGAUAUGUAGGUGAAGCGACUUGCUCGUGGAGCUGAAAUCAGUCGAAGAUACCAGCUGGCUGCAACUGUUUAUUAAAAACACAGCACUGUGCAAACACGAAAGUGGACGUAUACGGUGUGACGCCUGCCCGGUGCCGGAAGGUUAAUUGAUGGGGUCAGCGCAAGCGAAGCUCUUGAUCGAAGCCCCGGUAAACGGCGGCCGUAACUAUAACGGUCCUAAGGUAGCGAAAUUCCUUGUCGGGUAAGUUCCGACCUGCACGAAUGGCGUAAUGAUGGCCAGGCUGUCUCCACCCGAGACUCAGUGAAAUUGAACUCGCUGUGAAGAUGCAGUGUACCCGCGGCAAGACGGAAAGACCCCGUGAACCUUUACUAUAGCUUGACACUGAACAUUGAGCCUUGAUGUGUAGGAUAGGUGGGAGGCUUUGAAGUGUGGACGCCAGUCUGCAUGGAGCCGACCUUGAAAUACCACCCUUUAAUGUUUGAUGUUCUAACGUUGACCCGUAAUCCGGGUUGCGGACAGUGUCUGGUGGGUAGUUUGACUGGGGCGGUCUCCUCCUAAAGAGUAACGGAGGAGCACGAAGGUUGGCUAAUCCUGGUCGGACAUCAGGAGGUUAGUGCAAUGGCAUAAGCCAGCUUGACUGCGAGCGUGACGGCGCGAGCAGGUGCGAAAGCAGGUCAUAGUGAUCCGGUGGUUCUGAAUGGAAGGGCCAUCGCUCAACGGAUAAAAGGUACUCCGGGGAUAACAGGCUGAUACCGCCCAAGAGUUCAUAUCGACGGCGGUGUUUGGCACCUCGAUGUCGGCUCAUCACAUCCUGGGGCUGAAGUAGGUCCCAAGGGUAUGGCUGUUCGCCAUUUAAAGUGGUACGCGAGCUGGGUUUAGAACGUCGUGAGACAGUUCGGUCCCUAUCUGCCGUGGGCGCUGGAGAACUGAGGGGGGCUGCUCCUAGUACGAGAGGACCGGAGUGGACGCAUCACUGGUGUUCGGGUUGUCAUGCCAAUGGCACUGCCCGGUAGCUAAAUGCGGAAGAGAUAAGUGCUGAAAGCAUCUAAGCACGAAACUUGCCCCGAGAUGAGUUCUCCCUGACUCCUUGAGAGUCCUGAAGGAACGUUGAAGACGACGACGUUGAUAGGCCGGGUGUGUAAGCGCAGCGAUGCGUUGAGCUAACCGGUACUAAUGAACCGUGAGGCUUAACCUU
rnacentral:rRNA from 1 species